rnacentral:lncRNA from 1 species
CAAAUGCAUGAAACCACAUUUUACCUUAAUGAAGACAGUAAUCUUUAAUAAGGUGUAGAAAAAAGAAGUGAGUUGUUUGUUGCUGUGGUAAACAAAGAAGUGUACUGAAUCUUUUGGACUACACAGAGUGAUGCAGUAUUGACUGUGAUGCUGAUUUGAGUUGUCUCAUUCUGUAUUUUUGUGCUUUGUCUUUUGUUACACAGAAUGAAAGAGAUCUUUGGUUUUGCCUUUGCUGACUGCUGAUCUGAUCGUCUCAAGUCUGGUGACCUGCUGCAGAAAACCCUCUCCCUCUAUCGUUGACAAGCCAUUAACAAGCAAUUUCAGUCUGUCCUAUCACUCUCCCUCUCCCUGCUCCAUCUUUUUUGACAAGCCAUUCUAUCUUCUAUCAUUUCUCCGCCAUGAGCUCUAUCUAAUUUUGACAAGCUUGAACCUGUGUUGACAAGAAAUCUAAGUUUGACAAGAAACCAAGUUUGACAAGAAACCAAGGUUGUCAAGAAACCAAGUUUUUGGAAUUGAAGUUACCAGAACUUCGUCGAUCUGUUUUCAGAAUCUGAGAGAUCUCCGCUCUCACUGCUCCUUCUUUCCUGUCAUUAAACUCUCUCAUAUCCACUCAUUUUACUGGAAAUUACAAGUGGAAGUUGAAUAUACAGUAGUAGAAUU